CUGAAAAUGACUUUGCAUGAUAUGAAAUGAUUGAAAUGAAGAUCAAGGCCCCACAAUUAGAAAUUUCCUCCUGCUUUUGGCUAUUAAGCUGCUUUUCCUGCAGUACAUGGUAGCACUUCUUAACCCAUCAAUGAACCUGAGAGAUUAUUUUAGGGUAGCGAUUUAUUUUUUUGUGUCAGGGAAGAGUUAUGUAACUGAGGGACUAUUUUGUGGGCUUCUCUGUUAAGUGAUAUGGUUGGUGGGGUGGCCACUUAUCAGAUCCUUCCUGCCUCAUGACUGGGUUUUGCUUCAAGUCUUUUCAAGCACAUGGCUCUUGCUUUAAGUCUUCUCAAGAACAUGAUAUGGAAAUUCAUUUUCCAGGAACAAUAGGCUAGGUUAUAUCUUUUGCAAAUCAGUGAUGGAGCCUUGGGAACAGUUACAAAGGGAGGUGGAAGUGAUGUUGACCCAAAUGUCUAAAAGCAAUAAAGCAUGAGAAGAGGAAAAGCUAAGUGGAAUGGAGAAUUACUCACAUGGUGUUUCCAUACCUGUACUGUACUGAGUCAUGCAUGAUUGAAUUAUUCCGGCUGGACAAACCCAUUAUACAGGAAGAGUCCCUUCAUUUCUUUGAUUGGCCUUUGCCUGUAGGCCAAUGAUAACAACACAUAUCUGGGGACCCUCCCACUUGCAGAGCCACUAAAGAUUGGACACCUUCGCCGGCCAAGGUCAAUUGGCAUCUCUCUUGUCCGAAUCUUAUGGGCCCUGAUCAUCACAUGUCACAGUUGUUGAUUAUUCAAACAACUGAAACAAGUAUCCUGCAAAUUUGUUGCUUAAUCAUAUAUGUCUGACAUGUUCGCAUGAUGAAUCAGAGCACAUAUACACAAACAAAAAGCUUGUAUCAGCACUUAGUAACUAGAAGGCCAAGCUGUUUAUUGGUACUUUUGCUGCUGAAAACUACCUAAUUAGCUCCCUGCAUAAUUGAUUAAACCAAGAUGUGUUGCAUCUUUGAUUGGCCAGAUACCCAAGUUGUCAUUUGCGGUUAUUGUAUUCAACCAUCUCUUGAGUUCGUUAUUUGCUAUCUGUAUCAGUUAUCAUCCUGGAACCAGGGGUGUUUAACAGCAUAUGCCUAAAUAGUCCCUGAACCAGGUGAGUUCAGCCAAAUUUAAGGCAACUAUGAAAUCUGGAAUGAAGAGGCGACAGAGUUUUUCAGCCAGUGAGGCAAGGUGUUUUCAAGAGAAAGAAUCAUAUCCAAUGGAUUUUUGGAGGAUCAGUAUGAUCAACUUAGAUGUAGCAUUACCUGGACGAAUUAUACACCAAGUAGAUGAAAGAAACAUGGUUGUUGGUCAAACCCAACCAACAACCUGUUAUUAUUAUCCAUUACCCUGGAAUCCAACUGCUAUAGUAUUUUUCAGAAUCCUCAUUCUCCAAUUGGCCUUCUAAAUAUCCUAAUCUAAUAAGAUAUAUUUGUACUUAUCUAUCAGGCUCCUUCAUUUGCAUGUCAGGAAUGUGAACUUAUUGGCUGGAGAUAACAUUUUUCUCUUGUUGUUUCCAGAACAGUAAGGUACAACUACAAUCCAAUAACAUCAGUGGUAUAUCUUUAGUA